rnacentral:rRNA from 1 species
GGAGAUAGCUGGUUCUCUCCGAAAUAGCUUUAGGGCUAGCCUCAAGUGAUGAUUAUUGGAGGUAGAGCACUGUUUGGACGAGGGGCCCCUCUCGGGUUACCGAAUUCAGACAAACUCCGAAUGCCAAUUAAUUUAACUUGGGAGUCAGAACAUGGGUGAUAAGGUCCGUGUUCGAAAGGGAAACAGCCCAGACCACCAGCUAAGGUCCCAAAAUAUAUGUUAAGUGGAAAAGGAUGUGGCGUUGCCCAGACAACUAGGAUGUUGGCUUAGAAGCAGCCAUCAUUUAAAGAGUGCGUAAUAGCUCACUAGUCGAGUGACACUGCGCCGAAAAUGUACCGGGGCUAAACAUAUUACCGAAGCUGUGGAUUGUCCUUUGGACAAUGGUAGGAGAGCGUUCUAAGGGCGUUGAAGCAUGAUCGUAAGGACAUGUGGAGCGCUUAGAAGUGAGAAUGCCGGUGUGAGUAGCGAAAGACGGGUGAGAAUCCCGUCCACCGAUUGACUAAGGUUUCCAGAGGAAGGCUCGUCCGCUCUGGGUUAGUCGGGUCCUAAGCUGAGGCCGACAGGCGUAGGCGAUGGAUAACAGGUUGAUAUUCCUGUACCACCUAUAAUCGUUUUAAUCGAUGGGGGGACGCAGUAGGAUAGGCGAAGCGUGCGAUUGGAUUGCACGUCUAAGCAGUAAGGCUGAGUAUUAGGCAAAUCCGGUACUCGUUAAGGCUGAGCUGUGAUGGGGAGAAGACAUUGUGUCUUCGAGUCGUUGAUUUCACACUGCCGAGAAAAGCCUCUAGAUAGAAAAUAGGUGCCCGUACCGCAAACCGACACAGGUAGUCAAGAUGAGAAUUCUAAGGUGAGCGAGCGAACUCUCGUUAAGGAACUCGGCAAAAUGACCCCGUAACUUCGGGAGAAGGGGUGCUCUUUAGGGUUAACGCCCAGAAGAGCCGCAGUGAAUAGGCCCAAGCGACUGUUUAUCAAAAACACAGGUCUCUGCUAAACCGUAAGGUGAUGUAUAGGGGCUGACGCCUGCCCGGUGCUGGAAGGUUAAGAGGAGUGGUUAGCUUCUGCGAAGCUACGAAUCGAAGCCCCAGUAAACGGCGGCCGUAACUAUAACGGUCCUAAGGUAGCGAAAUUCCUUGUCGGGUAAGUUCCGACCCGCACGAAAGGCGUAACGAUUUGGGCACUGUCUCAACGAGAGACUCGGUGAAAUCAUAGUACCUGUGAAGAUGCAGGUUACCCGCGACAGGACGGAAAGACCCCGUGGAGCUUUACUGUAGCCUGAUAUUGAAAUUCGGCACAGCUUGUACAGGAUAGGUAGGAGCCUUUGAAACGUGAGCGCUAGCUUACGUGGAGGCGCUGGUGGGAUACUACCCUAGCUGUGUUGGCUUUCUAACCCGCACCACUUAUCGUGGUGGGAGACAGUGUCA